CAAGAGGGGGGAUGAAUUGGGUUUUAAAAUAAUUUUAACUAUUAAAGCGUUUGUGGGUGACUAAUUAAUGCUUUUUACAAGAUGAUUAAUUAGUUGCUGUGAUGUGUAUGAAAUGAGAGUAAUGGUAAGAGACAAGCAAUCACAAACACAAAGCUUUUAUAGUGGUUCGGAGCUAACCCUUACUCCUACGUCCACUCCCCAAGUCUCACUUGGGAAUUCACUAUAACUCCUUGGAUUACAGCCGGUUGUUUUCCAAGCUCACAACCAAACUUGUUGUUUUACGAGCUCACAACGAACUCGGUCGGUUUUUCCAGGCUCACCGACUAGAACCAACCCCGA
rnacentral:lncRNA from 1 species